AUGGAAUACCAUUGUCAUGCAAAUAAAGGACGCGUAAAAUAUCCCCCUCGCGCGCACUGCAGAGCAGAGACUCACUGGGAUCGCACGAAGGACGCGAAGCACCGGGCACGCGGGGAAGUUCAUACUACGUCGUCGCCAGAACCCGUCCAAUUGUCACAGCCACCCUUGCCAGACGAACUGCGGCGGCUCCAGGAUCCUGCAGGCAAGUGGGUAAAAUCGCAAGAAGAACCAACCUGCCCAGAUUCAACUGCAUUUUAUUCACCUUGUUUGGAGAUAACCGUGGCCGUUCUUCCAGAAUACCUACAGAAGAAAAGUUUCAACUGUCGCUCUGCUCCAUCUCUGCAAUAUAACAUAUACUACCUGUUGCUGCUAGUAACAACGGAGGAGAAGAGGGGGAGACUACACCUUGCGACACUUGGAUCUCUUAUAAACACACUUUGUAGGGAGUUGGAUUUCGCAACCUUUAAUAUUUUGCACACCAAGUGUGUUAUUUUGUCUAUGUCCAUUUUGGGAUAUUAGUGGUUUUACCAUAUCUAUAGUAUACACGUUUUUAAAGUGCCUUACAACUGGUAUUAAUCCAGUAUUUGGGGGGUAUUCCAACGCCAGAGACUCCAAUCAGUGACUAUCAGAUAGAAAAGCACAGGAUCUAUCUCUAUAUCCCGGUUUCACCAUGAGUCAAGGGGAUGUAUCAACUUGCUCUGCGCCUCAGAUCGUAUUCCAAGAGGCGGUGAAGCAAGGCAACACAAAGGAACUCCACUCGUUGCUCCAGAACAUGACAAACUGCGAAUUCAAUGUCAACUCCUUCGGGCCCGAAGGACAGACGGCGUUGCAUCAGUCAGUCAUCGAUGGGAAUCUCGAACUUGUAAAACUGCUGGUGAAAUUCGGAGCCGAUAUUCGAUUGGCGAACAGGGAAGGGUGGAGUGCCUUACACAUUGCCGCUUUUGGAGGACAUCAAGACAUAGUCCUAUACCUCAUCACUAAGGCAAAGUACUCCUCUGGCGCACGGUGAUCUGCUACACUGCUGUCAGGUAAACACACGGAAAGCCAGGCUCUUGUACAUUAGCGUUUCGAUCUAUAGUUGUGCCAAAUUAUAGCCUACAAAACACAGUAACUUCCCUUCCAUCAAAACCAAACGGGGGUCUCUCACUCGUGAGUCAAACGCCACAUGGUUCUUGUAUCCGCUUCAGCAUAAAAAAAACGCCAUUUUGGUGGGUUGGUACUAAAGCUUUUUCCUUGAACGUGUAUAAUAGAUUGGGAUGUAUAAAAUAACUAAGCCAGUGUUUGGCUCCCGAGACCUGAUUGCAGCCUAGUUUUACGCAGCGAUAGACUUUCUAUAUUUUUUUGUCGCGGUUACAUUGAAUCACUUCUUUAUUGGGCUUCGUAUUGAGGUGUCGCCUUAUAGCUGCGGUGGUCACACAGGACCCGUUUAAAUGAUUUUAUAUACUAAAAGAUGGCACUUGUUGCUGUGGCUGCAUGCUGGAAUAUAUGAAAGGGAAGAAAAGGUGAACACGGGAAAUGAAGGCCAUACUAUAUUUGGCUAUUAUUUCUUUUUUAAAUGAUAGGAUUUGAUCUAUUUCAAAGAGCAGCAUUAUUAGACCUACAUAUAUUACACCCGACCGGCAUUUCCAGAUGUGUAAUCAUUGUAACAACUAUUGACUUAAUGUUGUUAAGUACUUUACACAAUAGCUUUACUUUGUUUCUUUAUAAUAAAAAAGUAGCUAAAUGCGCCCUGCCUUCUUCAAGCAGGCUGCUGGCAUGUAUCAAUGUCUUUUCAGGCCAGUGUGACCGCAGUGUCAAUGGUUGAUGUGAUAUAAACCGCUGCUUUCGCUUUGUAUCAAAACGUCAGGAAAGUGGCAUUUGGAAUUCACUUUAAUCUCCUUUCAGUAUUUUAACGAACAACACCCUGGUCAUCACUGUGAAUACAGGCUGGGUUCUAUUUAUGAAGGUACAUUGACCAGAUGCAUUUUGAAAACUCUGUGGUUAUUCUUUUCAACUCAAAUCUGUCACGUUUAAGAAUAUUUAGGGUGACUUAUAAAGCUGCUUCAGACUCUAUGCUUAUCAUAGUAUAAACUAUCCUACCCCAUGUCACAAUAAGCCUAAAUUUGACCUUGCUAAAGAGAGACUCUUCUUUGUCCCUCAUUAACUUCUUGUUUGGUUUUAUUUGCCAACUACCUCGACUGUAA
rnacentral:lncRNA from 13 species